rnacentral:piRNA from 1 species
UGUAAGGACACUGGCUCUUUGGAUUGGU